rnacentral:rRNA from 1 species
AUUGAACGCUGGCGGCAGGCCUAACACAUGCAAGUCGAACGGUAACAGGAAGAAGCUUGCUUCUUUGCUGACGAGUGGCGGACGGGUGAGUAAUGUCUGGGAAACUGCCUGAUGGAGGGGGAUAACUACUGGAAACGGUAGCUAAUACCGCAUAACGUCGCAAGACCAAAGAGGGGGACCUUCGGGCCUCUUGCCAUCGGAUGUGCCCAGAUGGGAUUAGCUAGUAGGUGGGGUAACGGCUCACCUAGGCGACGAUCCCUAGCUGGUCUGAGAGGAUGACCAGCCACACUGGAACUGAGACACGGUCCAGACUCCUACGGGAGGCAGAAGUGGGGAAUAUUGCACAAUGGGCGCAAGCCUGAUGCAGCCAUGCCGCGUGUAUGAAGAAGGCCUUCGGGUUGUAAAGUACUUUCAGCGGGGAGGAAGGGAGUAAAGUUAAUACCUUUGCUCAUUGACGUUACCCGCAGAAGAAGCACCGGCUAACUCCGUG